GACAGAGAAGAAGCCAGACAGCGGGGAGGCUGGCUUCAUCCUUUCCAGGAUGCCUAGGAAGAACCAAUCAAUACCUGGGAGACGAUACAUCUCCUUUCCACGUUACACGGGGACUAAAAUUUCAUUCCAGAAACUUCUGGGGUGCAGACACCUUCCAAAGCACAGUCCACAGGACAACUCCUGUACCUUCUUAAGCCUAGGACACCGUUAGGAUAUGUUUGAACCUGACUUUGGAUAUACUAAAACAUGUGGCAAUAUGUUAAAUACAGGAAACUGUGCACCUGUUCAUGUAUGGUGACGCCACGGAGGGCCAGACUGCUGCAGUGCCCAAGGUGUGCCAUCUCCACAGAGAACCCAUCUUCACUCCCUUUAGGCAAUUCCCUCCCACCAGAGGCAGGAAGCAAACUACAACACCACGCUGGAGCAGCAAACGUAACCAUGUGAGCUAUCACGCACCAGCUCCUUCCUUAUUUCUGAUCACCCUGGACUCAGUUAGCCCGGCUUCCCACAGUAAGACUGUGUCUAGACUGUGGGGACAACAGGCUGGGAGCCAGGAAUGGACCUCAAGCCUACGAGAGCAUCCAAGCUGCUUUACUAAUACCUUUGAACCUUCCGAUGACUGGAACAGAGUUGAAAUUUAUCAGAAAAUAGAAAAACAGCUUUGGCACAGCACUACCAGUCAUCAUGUACGUCUCUGAAUAACAAAUGUUCAUCUCUAGGUCAUGCCUCCAGAUGUGUAAUUGAAGAUACUAACUGGAUGAAUGAACAACUUAAAGUUCCAGGGGAACAAAGCGCUGUUCUGGAUGAUUCCGCCAGCACCACUCCCUCUUCCAGUUCAGCUUCACAGCUAUCCAGGGGUGAAGAGUGGGCACACAGCGAACUUUGAGAAAUGCACAUAAUAUGAAUCUCAAGGAAAGAGAAAAGCCACGAAAUCUAUACUAAGCGGAAUCCCCAUGUUAAGAUUCACCAAUAAAAGCCUUUUAGAGUCUG